AUGUCCUUUAUCAUAAAUUCAGAUGUAUCUGCACGUCCCAAGGAAUUCAUAGACUUCUCUGACUCAUCAGUUGGCAGCUCUAGUUCCUUUCCUGUCACAAGAAGACAGAAGACAGGCAUCGUCUUGGAGUCUAUAAAAAGCUCACCUCUACAGGAUGGUGACCAGCUGUUCUCCAUCUCAGCUGAAGACAGACCCAGAGACUGUGUUUAAAGUGAGCUUAGAGACAAGGAUGAAGUUCCCUGCAAGGUGUGGUUGAUCCCUGGAAGAGGGGAGCUUAACUAGGAGAGAUUCAAAUCUCCCUUUCUCCAAGGACCUAUAAAGCCAGCAGAGAUUCUUAUCUGCUGCACUGCAUAGGGGUGGUCUUGCCUACAGGCAGGGAGUUCUCCUAGAUGACUGCUUUAUGAUUCCUUAAAGCCCCCGUGCUCAUCAUUG
rnacentral:lncRNA from 1 species